rfam:Ictidomys tridecemlineatus contig045754, whole genome shotgun sequence.
AGGGAUAUAGCUCAGUUGGUAGAGUGCUUGUCUCGAAUGCACAAGGCCCUGGGUUCAAUCCCUAGCACCACCA